AGGUGUGAUCAUACCGGCACUAAUGCACCAAAUCCCAUCAAAACUCCGCAGUUAAGCAUUCUUGUGUGAGAGUAGUACUAGGAUGGGUGACCUCUUGGGAAUUCGUCGUGUUGAACCUC
rnacentral:rRNA from 2 species